GUCGAGCGAACGGACGAGAAGCUCGCUUCUCUGAUGUUAGCGGCGGACGGGUGAGUAACACGUGGAUAACCUACCUAUAAGACUGGGAUAACUUCGGGAAACCGGAGCUAAUACCGGAUAAUAUUUUGAACCGCAUGGUUCAAAAGUGAAAGACGGUCUUGCUGUCACUUAUAGAUGGAUCCGCGCUGCAUUAGCUAGUUGGUAAGGUAACGGCUUACCAAGGCAACGAUGCAUAGCCGACCUGAGAGGGUGAUCGGCCACACUGGAACUGAGACACGGUCCAGACUCCUACGGGAGGCAGCAGUAGGGAAUCUUCCGCAAUGGGCGAAAGCCUGACGGAGCAACGCCGCGUGAUUGAUGAAGGUCUUCGGAUCGUAAAACUCUGUUAUUAGGGAAGAACAUAUGUGUAAGUAACUGUGCACAUCUCGACGGUACCUAAUCAGAGAGCCACGGCUAACUACGUGCCAGCAGCCGCGGUAAUACGUAGGUGGCAAGCGUUAUCCGGAAUUAUUGGGCGUAAAGCGCGCGUAGGCGGUUUUUUAAGUCUGAUGUGAAAGCCCACGGCUCAACCGUGGAGGGUCAUUGGAAACUGGAAAACUUGAGUGCAGAAGAGGAAAGUGGAAUUCCAUGUGUAGCGGUGAAAUGCGCAGAGAUAUGGAGGAACACCAGUGGCGAAGGCGACUUUCUGGUCUGUAA
rnacentral:rRNA from 1 species